rnacentral:pre_miRNA from 1 species
GCACUACAAUCAAGAUGUUUGUUUGGCAUGCAGUUGGCACUUGGUAACUAGGGUUAACAUUUAAAUAAAAAUUAAAUUUGGGAGAAAGAACUAUAAUCAGGAUGUCUUAAGCACGAUUAAUUUGUUAGGAAAGUAAAUAAACUCGAGCCAUGCAGCCAAGUGCCAAUUGCAUGCUGAACGAACAUCUUGAUUGUGGAUGC